UCUUGUCCGACUGAGCUGUCACUGUUACAAAAACAAUACUAUAUAUAUUUUCCUUCGAUUAAUUUAACAGAUUACAUCGACCUGUCUUGCAAAUUGGCUUUAGUGUCAAUUUAAUACAGAGAAAAUAGACCAUGAACACAAAGCCCAGUGCGUCGCAAACUUUAUUACUGGCUGGAUGAUAAAAACGCCUUUCGCGACGCCUCUCUAAAUGAAAGGCAGAACAUGCAAUAAGCAGAUUCGCUAUGUAAAGAUGAAGACAAGCACCACACUACUGAAUGGGAGAGUUUACGAAAUAUACAACUAUGUAAUAUAAGUCAAGUUGUAAGUUGAAGGCGUGGCAUAGUCAAUGGCUAUGUCCUAACUUUACGGAUCGCGAAAUUGUUCUUGCAACACAACUACCUCCCGUCGAGAUGCCACCUGCUUACGGACUUAGUUCCGAUCUAACUAGAAAGACUGAUACGAGAUGAAAUACUGUGAUGCAAAGCACUCCAUCUCUCCACCUGAAGAAGACUUCCGGAUUUAGUCGAAACAAUUGUUGGAAUCGUCAAACAUAGUUUCGCAAUUUGUCAUUGAGGAGUUGGAGUGGUGGAUAAUUUUUGUUGUGAUCAUUAUCUGUCACAUUAUUUUGACCUUACUUAAAUGGCACAAUGGUUUUGUUGAAUUUUAUACUUUUCUCACGAUUCGUGCAGAUAGGAAACGUUUCAAGAAAUUCUUUGAGUGCUCGUAUGUUCGACAGUACAAAAUUUUUUUGGACUGCUCUUUUUAUUACAGUAACCGACUGAUCCUCAAACUAGAUUAUCUGAGAAACCAGACAACGAAGAUUUAACGGAAGAACGGAAUUUAAACAAUGAAGGCAAUUUGGAACACCCAGAUCAGAGUUAAUUUAGAAAGUUCAUUUCCUAAACUGACCCGAACGGGAAUUUAACCCGGGACCUUAUUUACGUAAUGCCCAUCAUAGGUCCAUGAAGGUCAUCGAUAAUUGUUUGUAUUAUAAUGAUUUAAGGAUGAAAGGGUAAUUUGAGAGACUAUAGUAUGCAGUUCCUUUUAUGAGGGUAAAAAUAAAAAAGAAAUGUAAACUAUCUUUAAUAAUUGCUUUAAUUAAUAAAAACAAUGGUUUUCUACAAAAAGGGGCUUUCACCGUAAAAAGAAUGUAAUCGAUGACUUAAGAAAAUGUUGUGUACAUCUGUAAUUGGUGUAAAAGCAAGAUGCAAGCCCUGCAUAUCAAUUAAAAUUAAUGUCUGUAUUUACAUUGUUGAUGUACCUUUUAAAAUAAAUAAAUAAGGAAUA